ensembl:lncRNA
AUGCAUUUUGAUUGUGGCUCCUGCUUAUCUUUCUCCAUAUCCCUCUUCUCAGAAAAGAUGAAAAGAGAGAAGGAGAAUCCUCUGUGCAGCGCUUGGGAGGGUUCCGAACCAGAUAAUGGACCCAGCGAUGAGAAUGAAUUUCACGGACGCCAGAGGGUUAGAAGAGAGUUAAACCUGAACUGCAGAUGUUUGGAUGUGAGGAAUAUCGUAGUGUCGUCCCAUUUGAUAACUGGGCCACGGUCCUAUGCAGUAGAAGAAGUGGGGGAUGGGAUGGAGAUAGAGGAGAAGCUCACUUCCAAUCGCGUUCCUCUCCCAGUGAAAUCUCCUAGACAGCUCCAGAAUAACCCCUGCUGGGAGAGAUUUAACACGUCCAAUUCCAACUGUGCUCAGACGCAUUCCCAAACGGGCGUCGACGAUCCUCCACCUCAGAAGAAUAGAAAAGUUGCUCAAAGCAAAAAAUAUUUCUCACCACAAUCUGAACAAACAAACAUCAAACAACAGAGACUGAAGCAGCGACUUCUGCCACUGACCAGGUCCCAUUGGGGCCCAGCCUCUUCAUGUGUUUUGUGUGUAGAGCAGUCUGCAGAGGAACUAGCAGUGCCAUGGCGGUGUAGGGCGAUGGUGGCACAGAACCCUGAACCAUCUCGGCUCCCUUCCAGAAUCCUGCCAAACCUCCAAAACACAAUUAGAGCAUCUGGCUGUGAGAUACUGGAGCUGUGCCGACGUAUGUCCUCUAGGAUGAACUAUGUGAACCAUGUGAGCCCGACCACAUCUGGAACUGGAACUAGACCGGUGGGUUGGAGGUUGCUUGGGAAGCCCGUAGGGGACAGUGGAGCACAGGUGCGGGUCAGUCAACCAGAACACCCCUCCUGGAAUGUGAGAAAGUUCUCUGGGGCAUCAGUUGACAGCCACAGUCUCACCAGCCUUCUGCAUAAUAGUGAUUGUGGUUCUGGUGUAUCCAGGGGCAGCCAGACCCAGACACAUCUUCCAGAUACUGGGCUCUCUGGCUGUGCUAAAGACAGCAAAGGAGACAGCCAACAGCAUGGAUGGAAGGUCAGCAGAUCCAGGAGGGACCAGAGAGGUGGAGGUGGGGUUGGAAAAGGGAGACAGAUGCCCAGAGAAGAAUCCUUGCGGUGGGGUGAAGGAUCAACAUGGCCUUGGGACUCCGAGAGUCAGUCAAGGAACCAGCGGCAGAACGAGUCCCCAACAGACUGUGAUGUCACCCUACUGCACAUUGUGCAUCUUUUACAGUGUAGGUCAGUCAAUCUGUCUCAUGUCAGGGAAGAAGGACAAUUUGGAGAUGAUUUUCAACAUAUCCUUCACAACAGACAAACUUGACUCAAGCAAAUAGCAAGAUAUUUAGUAUUCAGAGUAGGUUAGUGAAUGGACAGGAGGAGCGAGCAAUCUUGAUAUAAUUAUUUUUUAUUCCAAGACUGUAAAUUGAAUUUUGUCUACAGUGUAAAAGGUCAUGAUAAAAAGACAAAGGAAUGAAAUAGAAGUUUGGUAAAACAACUGGGUGACCAGAAUAUCAACAACAUCCAUACAAACUGAUUCACUAUGCUAAAUAAUGACAAUGUAACAGUCUGACUUCAAACCAGGGAAGAACAAGAAGAAAAACCUGUCAUUUAAAAAAAAGAUCAGUAGCUAGGUUGCAUGAAACUCUUGUCUAUGGACCAAAAGUUUAACAAAAAGGUAUGAAUGUGUAGUUUAACAAAAAGGUAUGAAUGUGUAGUUUAACAAAAAGGUAUGAAUGUGUAGUUUAACAAAAAGGUAUGAAUGUGUAGUUUAACCAAAUGUAUGAGUAUGUAGUUUAAUCAAAUGUAUGAUUAUGUAGUGUAACCAAAUGUAUGAGUAUCUAGUGUAACCAAAUGUAUGAGUAUCUAGUGUAACCAAAUGUAUGAGUAUCUAGUGUAACCAAGCGUAUGAGUCUAGUGUAACCAAAUGUAUGAGUAUCUAGUGUAACCAAAUGUAUGAGUAUCUAGUGUAACCAAAUGUAUGAGUAUCUAGUGUAACCAAGCGUAUGAGUCUAGUUUAACCAAAUUUAUGAGUAUGUAGUGUAACCAAAUGUAUGAGUAUGUAGUGUAACCAAAUGUAUGAGUAUGUAGUGUAACCAAGUGUAUGAGUAUGUAGUUUAACUAAAUGUAUGAGUAUGUAGUGUGACAAAAAGUUCUGAGUAUGCAGUAGAGGUUGUAAUACAACAUAAAUAGAGAAAAUAUUAAAGUCAGAGUAUAAAAAAAUCAAAACAUAGUCAUGUGCACUUGUAUAACAUGGUAUAGCUAUGUUAAAGUAAUACUAGUCCAUUAACACAUGUACUGUACUUUUUGUGAACAAACACACACAUACAUACAGUGCACAACCAUAAGAAAAUAGACAGCCAUAAUGUCUGACAGAAGGAUACAGUAUGUAUACAUUUUAUACAAUUCACUUUUUCCAUCAUUUGAAUAUAAUAACACUAACCGUUAGGUCUUGCAAUGCACAUGUUAGCAGAUUUUACAAAUCCUGAAUGUUCUAGACAUAAUUACGUAUAUUUUCCAAGCAGCAGCGGUAUGGGCGGCCAUCUUGCCUGCGUUUCUGAGUCAAGCUUGAUUUUAAAGUGCUGCUGUUAUCAUGUUCCUGUGUUGUUGUGUCCUUUAUGAUAGUUCAGUGCUUUAGUGAUCAUUACAAAAAUAUAGAUUUCAGGGGCAACAUAAUGGGGACAUCAAUAUUAUGCUCUGCUCUUCUCUACUCAUGGGCAAAACAGUCAGAAAAUGAAUGUUAUUGCUCCUCUUAAAACUAUUUUCGCAUUGACUGGGGUUGGUCGAUCGAAUCGCAGCUUGCAUCCCAAAGUACAGUUUUAUUUCUGCACACUCUGAGGUGUCUUAGGACGAAAGACCCGUUUUAAAUUUCACCAGUGACAGAUGUGGUAUUGUUGAACCUCAGUUACAUACAUUAAUAUCUGAGAGAAUCAUAGUAAGACAAUGACGUUUCACCAUAACACAACAAAUCUCAAUAUUGGCCUGUGAGACAGUGACACAGUUCCCUGUCACAUGCGUUCAUAUGUAUCAACAAUAGACUUAAAGUAAUUACUAAACGAUUAGCGACAUUGUGCUCCAUUCACUAUAUCCCUUCCACACCAGAGAGAGCUGAAUAAAGAGAGAGUGAGAGAGAGAGCGAGAGAGAGAGAGGGAGAGAGAGAGAGAGAGAGAGAGAGAGAGAGAGAGAGAGAGGAGACACGCACGCUGACACACAGAUGACAACCAACCCCUCUUCGAGCUCCAAGUGAUGGCGUAUCAGCUUUAGGAACUGCCACAUGAAGCAACAUGAAUAAAAGUGAAGCAACAUGAAUAAAAAUGAAGCAACAUGAAUCAAAGUCUAACCAACAUCAUUGGUUUGCAUUUCUCAUAAUCUGGGGUUGAAAUAUAUGUCCCUGUAUGUGGCAACAGGGACAUUUUUGAAUCUACAAAUUCAACACAACAUACAGUAGGCUACAUUUGAGAAAAAUAAUGCUCCCUAGCUUCCCAUUAUUUAGGAUACUGAUAAUGUAACAAUGCUUAUUGUACACAAAAUAGAGUCCAAUGAUGAAAUAUAAUUUACAUGAAGCGAUGGCAGAAUGAAUAAGAACAUAUCUGACCAACAUUGUGGAAAAAAUGGAUCAGUCACUUCCAUGAUGAAGUCCUCUCUUCUACAGUAUAAAGUGGCAUCUGGAUCACAGCGUGUCAGCAUUUCUGCUUAUAAUGACAAGUCGAGUUAAUUCAAGUUGAAUCAGGUCAAUUUUCCUCAUUUAGGGAUUAAGUCCAAAAAUAGAUUCAAUAAAUGCAGUAAACACAUGGAGAAACACAGCAAAGAGCUUCCCAUCAAGCUAUUGAGGAGUUUUUUUACAUGACUGCGGCAUAGGAUAUGAUACAGGGACUGACAAGACAACAACACAGACAGACCUUAUACAGUAGCCGUACAUAAUGAGUUAG